UCGUACCGACAACACCCUCCUCGACAUCCAGAACACGCAAGCAGAACAUGGAAGACUCCUGGAAGAGCAACAAAAAUGGAACCAGGACCAUGCCGCUGCAGUAGAAGAGCUGAGACAAGAUACAACAACAAUGAACGACAACAUCACAACCAUGAUGCGGUUGUGGAACAUCGGGUAAGACCGACGUCAACAUCCAGCUUGGGGGAGUUCCUCCCCAAUUUAUCAAGUAAGUUUUUAUUUUG
rnacentral:lncRNA from 1 species